UACGAACUGUGCGAACGUUAUUCGGCCUCACUGGGCUUACAGGGUGCGUCGGCGGCCUUUCAAGUCAGGUGUGAAAUCCCCCAGCUCAACUGGGGAACUGCGCUUGAAACUGGAGGGCUCGAGGCAACUAGAGGUGCAUGGAACUUCCGGUGGAGCGGUGAAAUGUGUUGAUAUCGGAAGGAACACCAGAGGCGAAAGCGAUGCACUGGGGUUGAACUGACGCUGAGGCACGAAAGCCAGGGGAGCGAACGGG
rnacentral:rRNA from 1 species